rnacentral:rRNA from 1 species
AAACGCUGGCGGCGUCCUAACUCAUGCAAGUCGAGCGAGAAAGUUCUUCGGAAGUGAGUACAGCGGCGAGUGAGUUACGCGUGAGAAUCUACCUUUUAGUGAAGGAUACCCUUGAGAAAUCGAGGUUAAUACUGCAUAAGUCCCUUCGGGGAGAAAGAUGGCCUCUUUGCUGUCGCUAAAAGAUGAGCUUGCGUGCUAUUAGCUAGUUGGUAGGGUAAAGGCCUACCAAGGCGAUGAUGGCUAGCCGGCCUGAGAGGGUGUACGGCCACACUGGAACUUAGACACGGUCCAGACUCCUACGGGAGGCAGCAGUGAGGAAUCUUGCGCAAUGGGCGAAAGCCUGACGCAGCGACGCCGCGUGGAGGAUGAAGGUCUUUGGAUUGUAAACUCCUGUUAAGUGGGAAGAAACGUCUGUUUUUAAUAGAAGCAGAUAAUGACGGUACCAUUAGAGAAAGCACGGAUAACUCGUGCCAAAGCGCGGUAUACAGGGGUGCAAGCGUAUACGGAAUAUGG